rnacentral:rRNA from 1 species
CCUAAGAGUCGCUUGGAGGUUGUGCCCUUGAGGCGUGGCUUCCGGAGCUAACGCGUUAAGUCGACCGCCUGGGGAGUACGGCCGCAAGGUUAAAACUCAAAUGAAUUGACGGGGGCCCGCACAAGCGGUGGAGCAUGUGGUUUAAUUCGAUGCAACGCGAAGAACCUUACCUGGUCUUGACAUCCACAGAACUUUCCAGAGAUGGAUUGGUGCCUUCGGGAACUGUGAGACAGGUGCUGCAUGGCUGUCGUCAGCUCGUGUUGUGAAAUGUUGGGUUAAGUCCCGCAACGAGCGCAACCCUUAUCCUUUGUUGCCAGCGGUCCGGCCGGGAACUCAAAGGAGACUGCCAGUGAUAAACUGGAGGAAGGUGGGGAUGACGUCAAGUCAUCAUGGCCCUUACGACCAGGGCUACACACGUGCUACAAUGGCGCAUACAAAGAGAAGCGACCUCGCGAGAGCAAGCGGACCUCAUAAAGUGCGUCGUAGUCCGGAUUGGAGUCUGCAACUCGACUCCAUGAAGUCGGAAUCGCUAGUAAUCGUGGAUCAGAAUGCCACGGUGAAUACGUUCCCGGGCCUUGUACACACCGCCCGUCACACCAUGGGAGUGGGUUGCAAAAGAAGUAGGUAGCUUAACCUUCGGGAGGGCGCUUACCACUUUGUGAUUCAUGACUGGGGUGAAGUCGUAACAAGGUAACCGAGGAGUUU